UAUAUGACCUCUGCCGCCGACUUUUUCACCCGUUGGCGCCUGUGCCCAAAUCCUUCUAAGACCGAAGUUUGCUGUUUCCACCUGUCCAAUAAGCUGGCACAUAAGACCCUCAGAGUUAGAUUCCGGGGUACAGCCUUACAACAUAACUAUUCCCCAAAGUAUCUCGGUGUUACACUGGACAGAAGCCUGACAUACCGAUUGCACAUAGAGAAGCUAAAAAGUAAAAUAAGGACCAGGAUAUUUUAAUUACGAUACAUAAAUAACUACUAAAACAUGUUUUCUGCAAGAAAUUAGUUAUCUUAUUAUAUUAUAAAAUAUUUAUUAUCCAUCUGUGAUGUUUAUUUCUUGUGAAGAUAUCGAAGUUUCGCUGUGUAGCACUUAUCGAUAUAUAAUAUGAUCAAAAUCGACCCGUCCACAUCCCUAAAAAUCCACACAUACACAUUUUUACGCACAUAUACAAAGCAGUAUAACCACCAAAAUGGCUACGGCUUGAGUAUUCAAAUUUGUAUUGAGAAAAGGCAACUAUAUCCUGUCUUUAUUUGCCUCUCUAUCGCUCGAAUAUGCAAUACGCAUGCACUCUUCGUCAAAAUCGGUUUCAAACUUUUUCGACUGAGUACGCGCAAUAAACGCCUAGUAGUAGUAUUUAAAUGUUUACCGUAUUCAUUUAAAGCAUCGUAGGACAAUGCCGCUAUGUAAACUGUAAGGUGGGUCUUAAAUUAGUGUGAGUUAUUUUGGCACCGGACUCAACCUUCACGUUACAAUAUUUAAAGUAUUGCGCUGUCAUAGUAACGAAAAUGAUAAACACGUCAAUCGGAGUAAACAAGUAACUAAAUGAUGCAAACAAGAAAAUAUUGCAAAAUAGGUACAUAUAUAUGUACCGAUAAUUAUUUUGUGUUAAAAAUAUGAGGCAAAUUAUACUGCCCGAUUAUACGGACUACAUAUUAAAAACGAUUAUCUUGGAAACAGUCAAUAGAUGUCGAACCACCAGCAAAGUUUUUGAAGAGGUGUAGUUCCUGGUACCAACUGGAAACUGAAACUAAUAAUCUACACUCAAGAAAAUGAAAUAUAGUCACAGAAAACUUUAAUGUUUUAUUUUAUUAAAGAAAAACGUUAAAAAAAUGUGUAAACAGAAA